AGCGAACGCUGGCGGCAGGCCUAACACAUGCAAGUCGAACGAACCCUUCGGGGUUAGUGGCGGACGGGUGAGUAACACGUGGGAACGUGCCUUUAGGUUCGGAAUAACUCAGGGAAACUUGUGCUAAUACCGAAUGUGCCCUUCGGGGGAAAGAUUUAUCGCCUUUAGAGCGGCCCGCGUCUGAUUAGCUAGUUGGUGAGGUAAUGGCUCACCAAGGCUACGAUCAGUAGCUGGUCUGAGAGGAUGACCAGCCACAUUGGGACUGAGACACGGCCCAAACUGCUACGGGAGGCAGCAGUGGGGAAUCUUGCGCAAUGGGCGAAAGACUGACGCAGCCAUGCCGCGUGGAUGAUGAAGGUCUUAGGAUUGUAAAAUCCUUUCACCGGUGAAGAUAAUGACUGUAGCCGGAGAAGAAGCCCCGGCUAACUUCGUGCCAGCCGCCGCCAGUAACAC
rnacentral:rRNA from 1 species